CACUGGGGUUGCUGACGCUGGGCCUAGCACCAUGUCCCCAAUCUCCCUAUGAUAUCCAGUCCCCCACCCCACUCUGCGUGCAUGCCGCAUACGUACCUUGCUGGCAUGGAACUCCAGUCGUCGCAGGAACCGGUCAAUGGACUUGACUUGCUGGGGGAGAGGUGGGUCAGGAGGGGCCUGAAGCCCAGGGCCCUUUCCCUUCCCCAUGAGCCAACCCCCUCCAACACCAUGCUACACACACUCACCUUGUCCAAGUCAUACAGGAAGCCCUGCAGGGGGGAUGGGAAGGGCACUUAGGAGGACCCCAGCAGAGGCACUCGCCCACCCAAGCCCAUAGUAGCUCCCCUCCUCCACAGCCUUCCUCAUACCAGUCCACAGCCACUCCGGGUACAGCAGGGACUGACCCCUUCCUGCAUGCCUGCAUGGUGCAUGCUAGUUUAACACAGAUCUGGUCCCUUAGACCCCUCCAGGACCCCUCCCCCUACCUCUUCCCUGGUAUCCCUUUCCCAGCAGCCCCUAGGGAGGGAGCUCUGUGCCUCCUCACGCAUGGUUCCCUCUGCCAGGGAGCUCCCAUUCAUCCUUCCAUCCACCUCUGGGAAGCCCUAACCUCUUCCCCGGGACGCACCAUGGCCCUGUCCUCAGUACCACAACAACAUAAUCUCCUGUUGUCCACGUCUAUGGGGCCAGACCGACCCCACUGGAAGAUCCGGUGAGCAGGCACUGGAUCCCAAGCAGAAAGUGUGCACAGCACAUAAGCCUUUCCUGAUAUCCCCUUUUCUACUCAUACCUGAAUCAAGUCUCCCCAGAAAAUAGCCCUGACAUCACCCAAGGCUGGCCCUGCCCAGCCCCCCACACCACAAAGGCACAGGGCAGUAGCCCAGGGCGUCCCUACCACCCAUCACUCACCAGGCGGGAAUUCCUUUUGGACUCCCUUAUCUGCACCUGGAGUUUCUCCUGCUCCUGUUGGUGCACUUCCAAGUAGGCCCUGAGGAAAGGGGUGACAACAAGAAGUAACCUACCUCUCCAGCCUCAAGCUGCACAAGGUACAAGCAGUAGGGAGAGGGCAUGGGGCAGCAGAAGGUUCCACUAACAGGAGAUGGCGGUUUGGGGAGAGAUGCUGGGACACGGGGUGGGGAGGGAGUGGCUUACGUCAGGCCCUGCUUAAGCGCAGCAUACACCAGGUCCAGCCGCUCAGGCUGCGGCACCUUGGAGGCUGGGUGAGCCACGGAAAACAUCCUGGACACUCGGGAGAGCGCUGGGGGCUUCCGUGGGGGCCCUGGCGGGCUGAAGACUGGUAAACUCCUGAAGAAGAGGCUGCCCUCAGAAAGCGGCCGGUAGGAGUCCCCCAAACCCUCACUACACACCCAGUCCCAACCCCGGUCGGCUCUCUUGGCCCCCUUAACCCUGCUGCGCUGCGUACCUGGGCCCCCGCUCGUGGCUGCCGAGGACGCCUGCGAAGGACUGGCUCCUACUGACCCGGGCGCUGAGCAGGCGGCGCUGCGGCCGCACCGACAAGGACAUCAUGGAAUGAGUCCGCGCGGGGCUCCCUGGGGGUGGUAGGGGUGGUGGUGUCCAGCACCAGUUGGGUCCCUGAAGCCCACCCCCCGCGGCCGGGUUCCAGGGCUGGAGCAGGUCUCUCCCGGUCACCAGGUACAACGGCCCCAGUGGGCUCCUGCCUCCCUCGCCAGCCCCGGCACUAAUGACAGGGCAGCAGCCAGCGACUCAGCCUCGGACUCAGCGUGGCCUCAGCUCGGCCCCCACUUCCUGCCGAGCUCCGACCUGGAAACUGAGUCACGGACCAACGCCUUCGCUCCAGCCCUUGUCAGGAAGAGAUCCUCUGCAGACCCCCACCCUGCUUCGGAGAAACACGCACCCCUGGCCCCCAGAAUCCGACCUGCACCUCCUGGGGCGCGCCUCGGGGCCUUUGCAGCCCCAGACCAGGUCCUACCUCUCUUCUUGGCGCUCAUGGUGUUUCAGACUCUCUCAGGUCUCCAACAAGCUCAACUCACUCCCAGGUAAAAAAUGAAAAUGAGUGGUGGGUACAGAAUGCCCAUCAAUGAAUAAUGGAAUUACUAUAUGGCAAAAAGAAUGAAAAAUAUACAACUACACGCAACAAUAUGGAUGAAUGUAACAGACAUAAUGUUGAGUGAAAGAAGCAAGGCACAGAAGAAGACAUAGGUAUGAUUUCCUUGAUAAUAAACCUCAAAAGCAAAACUAACCUAUGGUGAUAGAAGUCAGACUAGUACUCCCCCUUGGGGUGUUGUGACUGGAAGGGGGUGUCAGGGGUCUUCCAGGAUACUUACUGGUGGUGUUUUAUUCCCUGCUCUGGGUUAAAUUUCCUGGUCCUAUAUGCGUGCGUUCCCUUGUGAAAAUGUAUCAAGCUGUAUACUUAGGUGUAUACUUAGUUGUAUACUUUCUGUAUGUAUAUUUCAAUAUAAAGUUGGCUAUAAAUAACUACAAAAAGAAA